UGCCUAAUACAUGCAAGUAGAACGCUGACUACUUUAGCUUACUAGAGUAGAAGGAGUUGCGAACGGGUGAGUAACGCGUAGGUAACCUGCCUACUAGCGGGGGAUAACUAUUGGAAACGAUAGCUAAUACCGCAUAACAGUGUUUAACACAUGUUAGAUGCUUGAAAGAUGCAAAUGCAUCACUAGUAGAUGGACCUGCGUUGUAUUAGCUAGUUGGUGGGGUAACGGCCUACCAAGGCGACGAUACAUAGCCGACCUGAGAGGGUGAUCGGCCACACUGGGACUGAGACACGGCCCAGACUCCUACGGGAGGCAGCAGUAGGGAAUCUUCGGCAAUGGGGGCAACCCUGACCGAGCAACGCCGCGUGAGUGAAGAAGGUUUUCGGAUCGUAAAGCUCUGUUGUAAGAGAAGAACGUGUGUGAGAGUGGAAAGUUCACACAGUGACGGUAACUUACCAGAAAGGGACG
rnacentral:rRNA from 1 species